CCCUUAGAUGUUCUGGGCUGCACGCGCGCUACACUGAUGCACUCAACGAGUUUACGACCUUGCCCGAUAGGGUUGGGUAAUCUUUUUAAAAUGCAUCGUGAUGGGGAUAGAUUAUUGCAAUUAUUAAUCUUCAACGAGGAAUUCCUAGUAAGCGCGAGUCAUCAGCUCGUGCUGAUUACGUCCCUGCCCUUUGUACACACCGCCCGUCGCUCCUACCGAUUGAGUGCUCAGGUGAAUAAUUCGGACUGCAGCAAUGUUUGGAUCCCGAACGUUGCAGCGGAAAGUUUAGUGAACCCUAUCACUUAGAGGAAGGAGAAGUCGUAACA
rnacentral:rRNA from 1 species